UGAAUUGACGGGGGCCCGCACAAGCGGUGGAGCAUGUGGUUUAAUUCGAUGCAACGCGAAGAACCUUACCUGGUCUUGACAUCCACAGAACUUUCCAGAGAUGGAUUGGUGCCUUCGGGAACUGUGAGACAGGUGCUGCAUGGCUGUCGUCAGCUCGUGUUGUGAAAUGUUGGGUUAAGUCCCGCAACGAGCGCAACCCUUAUCCUUUGUUGCCAGCGAUUAGGUCGGGAACUCAAAGGAGACUGCCAGUGAUAAACUGGAGGAAGGUGGGGAUGACGUCAAGUCAUCAUGGCCCUUACGACCAGGGCUACACACGUGCUACAAUGGCGCAUACAAAGAGAAGCGACCUCGCGAGAGCAAGCGGACCUCAUAAAGUGCGUCGUAGUCCGGAUUGGAGUCUGCAACUCGACUCCAUGAAGUCGGAAUCGCUAGUAAUCGUGGAUCAGAAUGCCACGGUGAAUACGUUCCCGGGCCUUGUACACACCGCCCGUCACACCAUGGGAGUGGGUUGCAAAAGAAGUAGGUAGCUUAACCUUCGGGAGGGCGCUUACCACUUUGUGAUUCAUGACUGGGGUGAAGUCGUAACAAGGUAACCGUAGGGGAACCUGC
rnacentral:rRNA from 1 species